AGAGGGAGUCUGGAGCUCCUUUAAGUCCGAUAGAGGUUCUUGGCUGGGUGAGUUGAGCUGCUGGUCUAUGGAUCCCACACUCCUAUCCCAUUAAAUCCAUUCAUUCGCGAACGAAUGCCCCAAAAGAGAAGGAAAAAAAGAGAUGAAGAAGACACAAAGAAGGAAGAAAAGUUGGGAUAGGCUUGUGGCUUGCAUAUGCCAGGAGCUUCACUUGCCCUUUUUGGUCUGAAUCCUUUUUUGGAUUGAAGGGAGCUCUACACUUCUUUCGU
rnacentral:pre_miRNA from 1 species